GCCGUCGGGCAAUUGACGCAUGCGCUGUGAGAGAAACCGCUAGGAGAAUGGUCCAGCGCCGCCUGCGAAAUAGAUGAGGUUGCACUCGAUGUUGCCGCCAUUUGCCGCCAUUUGGGAGCGGCCGCUAUGAAUGCUGGCAUGGAGUAUUCUUGAUCUGACAUCCUUCUGGAGAUAAAAGAACAAGGGUUAGGGAGACAGGGAGAGAUACAUUACAUAAGUAAAUACACAAGAACAAAAACAGAUCAGCAGACAGGAUUUGGUAAGAGAGGGGUAGCGGCGAAUAGGUACCAAACAGAGCUAAUCUAUUAACAGGAAAAUACAUUACGCAAAACAAGAGCUGUAAGAUAUAAAACUUGUGUUUGAAACAAAUUCAUCUUUAGAAUUGGAUUGCGAUAGGAUGUGCACAAACAUAUUCGAAACAAUAUGAACUGUUGUUAUAGAGAGAACAACAAACACAAGCCUGCUUUUUUAUUAAAAAAAGUUAAAUGCUAAGUUAAGUUAAUGGCGCGCUACAAUUUUAAAGAAAUAGGAAUUACCACUGCACUGCCUAAAAAGUAAGCUAUACACAGAAAUCAUAAUAGACAACGUGUCUAUAAUAGCAGCCUGAGGUUUUGUUGCUGGCAGAAUAAUAAGAUAAGAAGUUUUCCAAGUCUCAAGUCUCACUCCCCUCAGGUGAUCAAACAACGAGUGCUUUUGGAAAUGAAAACCAAACAGAGCUCAGUAUGUGUGUUGCACCUGCAAACAUGGAGACUGGAGGAGUCAUAAAACUUGUUGACUCGCUGUCGAGAUUCCACCAACAAGGUGUCACUUCAAAGAUUGUCGAAAGUGAAACCCAAUCCUUGGAUCAAUAAACUCUCAGAAUCCCCUUAGAGCCUCAUGGGAAAUAUUCCGCUCUUUAUAACACAAACUAUACAAAUGUCAUUGCCGUGGGAUAUUUAUUUUGCGUCUAGGCUGAUGUUAUAAUAAUAACAUUCUUUUUGGAAAAGUCUUGUUUUUAUUCUUUUCAAAAGAUCCCUCGAUCUUUAGUGUUGGCUUGUUGAAGGGCGAGUACAAACUCUUACAAACUUCACACAUUUUUUAUCUUGUUUUCGGUAGCUAUAGCGACUGCGCUCAAUAACUCAAAGUAUCCCAAUCGUGGAAGUUAGCUAUAUUAAAACCGACCGAAACUGUUUGUUUUAUCGCCGUUAUUACAACGGUUAAGCAUAUAUUAACAACCGUAUAGCACUGUAGAAAAAAAUAACUUGAGUAAACGUCAUUUGAUCCUU